rnacentral:lncRNA from 1 species
AUUAUUUAUUGCUAUUGACACUAUAAAAGAAAAAUUGAUUAUAAGAUUGCUUUUUAGGAGUUGAGCUAGAAUACUAUCGGUAACAAACCGGCUCCGUUGCCACCCAUUUGUUUUUUAUGAUGGAGCCUCCAAAUCGGCGAUCGGCGCCAUCGAAUAUGAUCUAUACCGCUUGAAGUAUCUAGAAAUCAAAUUUCAUAUUUUUCUGAUAUUAUUCUCUUGUCUAUCAAGUGGGCGUAAAAAUGAACGGCUGAAAAUGAAUAUCCUUUAAAAAGUGAUGAUAGGAAUUUUAUAAUCAAGAUCGAGAGUAUAGAUCUUGUUCUAAAUAGUUUAAAGAAUUUUCUGACCAAAAUUCAAUUGAUUUGGAUAGCUUUAUACCGUUAAAUGAGAAAACGCUUCAUAUCUACCAUUAAAAUUACAAACUUUGAAAUCCUUUAAUCAUUAGGUCAAUGAUGUCGAAAAGAUUUAAAAUUUGGUUUCUAAAUACUUCAAGUAGUAUAGAUCAUGUUCAACGGUGUCGAUUAUUAAUUUGGAGGCUACAUCAUCGAAAACAAAUGGGUGGCAACAGAGCCCGUUUGCUAUCGAUAGUAUUCUAGCUCAACUCUGCUUUUUAGAUGAUGUUUGGAGAAGCGCUCCAAACACUCCUACUAUAUAACAAGUACCGACACUUUAAAAUGCGUCAUCAUAUGAACUACAUCAUUAUUUCUAAUUUUUUCACGCUUUAAAAUAUUAGAAUAUAUUUUAUUGAUGCAUGUUAUA